GACGGAGGAUGCAAGCGUUAUCCGGAAUGAUUGGGCGUAAAGCGUCCGCAGGUGGCAGUUCAAGUCUGCUGUCAAAGACCGGGGCUCAACCUCGGAAAGGCAGUGGAAACUGAACAGCUAGAGUAUGGUAGGGGCAAAGGGAAUUCCUGGUGUAGCGGUGAAAUGCGUAGAGAUCAGGAAGAACAUCGGUGGCGAAGGCGCUUUGCUGGACCAUAACUGACACUGAGGGACGAAAGCUAGGGGAGCGAAUGGG
rnacentral:rRNA from 1 species